rnacentral:rRNA from 1 species
UACGUAGAGUGCAAGCGUUGUCCGGAAUUAUUGGGCGUAAAGAGCUCGUAGGCGGUCUGUCGCGUCUGCUGUGAAAACUCAGGGCUUAACCCUGAGCUUGCAGUGGGUACGGGCAGACUAGAGUGCGGUAGGGGAGACUGGAAUUCCUGGUGUAGCGGUGAAAUGCGCAGAUAUCAGGAGGAACACCGGUGGCGAAGGCGGGUCUCUGGGCCGUAACUGACGCUGAG